AUACGGAGGGUGCAAGCGUUGCUCGGAAUCACUGGGCGUAAAGCGCGCGCAGGCGGCUAUUUAAGUUGGAUGUGAAAGCCUACGGCUCAACCGUAGAACUGCAUCCAAAACUAUUUAGCUAGAGUGUGGGAGAGGAAGAUGGAAUUAGUUGUGUAGGGGUAAAAUCCGUAGAGAUAACUAGGAAUACCAAAAGCGAAGGCAAUCUUCUGGAACACUACUGACGCUGAGGCGCGAAAGCGUGGGGAGCAAACGGGAUUAGAAACCCCUGUAGUCC
rnacentral:rRNA from 1 species